UGUUGCAUGUGGUCAAUGCCAAUCUUUUCAAUUUUGAAUUCAAAUAAAAAGUUUUAUUCUUCAACUAUACCUUUGGAUCUAUUUUCAUCUUAUGUUUGUCACAACCAAAGUGGUGGGAAUUAUCCUUAGAGUACAUAUCACCUCACACUUCUUUUUAUCUAUAUGAAUCCACUCAUAUUCUUAUCAUCAUUAAAGUCACUCAUUGACGUCAUCUCCUCAACAUCAUGCCUUGGCCUACACACAUGGAUGUUGUGCAUCUCUUUGUUUGUUCACUUAUGUUUGGCAAGGAUGGAGCCGGCCAUUGUCUAUGCAUGGCAAUUUCGGCCAGCCAUUCCUCUCUAUUUUUCUUCCUCUACAAGACUUGCCUCCCAACUACCCCAAUCAAUAAAUGAGCAGCCUCCCAACCCACCCAAUCAAUGAGGAGGCAGCCACCAUCCUCCCUCUUUAUAAGGAGCUUGGCCGGCCACACCUCCUCUCCUUUGCCUCAUUUCUUUUCACUCCCUACUAUUUCCUCCACUCCCUCACACUCUCCUCCUCCACUUCCCCACGAAAAUGGUGCUCCCCUUGCUCCCAUGGCCGGCCAUGGCCAUGGCAAGCCACCAAGAUGAAGCUCUCCCUCUCCCUCAAGCUCCUCCUCACCAUGAGAGCCUCCCUCUCAUUCUUCUCCCCAACCCUAGAUGGUUUUCUCUCCUCUUCUUCUUCCUCCCUUGCUAAGAUUGGAUCUUGAUGCAGGUGCAUGUUGGUCCAAGCAUGGAGAAGCUUGAGCUAGCCUCAGAUCUGAAGUUCUUGAGCAAAGGCCAAAUCGAGUGAUUCAAAGUUCCGCGCAUAGGUAUUGAAAAGAUCUACAACUUGGCGUUGGUUUCACCCUCAAAUUCGUUACAUAUUUUCCUCGAUCAAGAUCUGGUCAGAUCUGACUUGGUCGAAUUAAAUCAGGAGCUUGGGAACGAAUUUUUGAAUGAAACAAACUGGGGGAUACUUAGUUGUGCCAUGGUGAUACCGAGAGAGGCAAUUGCUAAGUUAUGAUACUCUCAUACCUUUACUAGAUGCGAACGAUUCCGGAGAAGAAGAAGAAGUGGUUCGGACAAGGAUUUUAUUUAUAUUGACGGGAUUCUUAUAUUGAUGAAGUUGAAGAAGUCCAGGGAAAAAUAAGCCAAGGCAAGCCAUCUUUUGAUCUCUGAUAUGAUGUCUCUUUGGAUGUCAUCUUGUGCUAUCAAUAGCAUCUUGGUUCUAUGUGUGAUGAUCUCCAUAUUGUUGUCAUCUAUGCUUGGAUGCAAGCAUGGUACCUCUAGUAGUUUUAUCUUGUCAAGGUCUUGGUAAUUGGUUGGGUGUAUGGUAUCAUGGCCAUUGCUAUCCAACUUGCUUUCUAUAUUUAGCUUGAAUAUGUUCCACCUCGGGACAAGAUUCAUACUACACCCCCUUCUAGUGUAGAUGUAUCAAUACCAUGUUUUUGGUGUAUUCUCAAAUUGUGAUGAGUAUGCCUGUUUUCCCUUAAUGGUGUUG